rnacentral:rRNA from 1 species
GGACAGAAAGACCCUAUGAAGCUUUACUGUAGCUUGAAAUUGUUUUCACGUCUUGUACGCGCAGAAUAGGUGGGAGACUAAGAAAGAAUCUCUUCGGGGGUUCUGGAGUCACACGUGAGAUACCACUCUUGCAAGACUAGAAUUCUAACCUCAGACCGUUAUCCGGCUGAGGGACCAUUUUAGGUGGGCAGUUUGACUGGGGCGGUCGCCUCCCAAAAGGUAACGGAGGCGUGCAAAGGUUUCCUCAGGUUGGUUGGACAUCAACCUUCGAGCGCAAAGGUAUAAGGAAGCUUGAUUGCGAGACCUACAAGUCGAGCAAAGACGAAAGUCGGCCUUAGUGAUCCGACACUACCGAGUGGAAGGAGUGUCGCUCAACGGAUAAAAGUUACUCUAGGG